AGAACGAACGCUGGCGGCAUGCCUAAUACAUGCAAGUCGAACGAGAUCUUCGGGUCUAGUGGCGCACGGGUGCGUAACGCGUGGGAAUCUACCCUUGGGUUCGGAAUAACAGUUGGAAACGACUGCUAAUACCGGAUGAUGACGAAAGUCCAAAGAUUUAUCGCCCAAGGAUGAGCCCGCGUAGGAUUAGCUAGUUGGUGAGGUAAAGGCUCACCAAGGCUACGAUCCUUAGCUGGUCUGAGAGGAUGAUCAGCCACACUGGGACUGAGACACGGCCCAGACUCCGUACGGGAGGCAGCAGUAGGGAAUAUUGGACAAUGGGCGAAAGCCUGAUCCAGCAAGUGCCGCGUGAGUGAUGAAGGCCUUAGGUUGUAAGCUCGUUUACCGAG
rnacentral:rRNA from 1 species